GACGAACGCUGGCGGCGUGCUUAACACAUGCAAGUCGAACGGAAAGGCCCUGCUCUUGUGGGGUGCUCGAGUGGCGAACGGGUGAGUAACACGUGAGUAACAUGCCCUUGACUUUGGGAUAACUUCAGGAAACUGGGGCUAAUACCGGAUAGGAGAUCCUGCUGCAUGGUGGGGGUUGGUAAGUGUCGGCGGUUGGGGAUGGAAUCGCGGCUUAUCAGCUUGUUGGUGGGGUAGUGGCUUACAAAGGCUUUGACGGGUAGCCGGCCUGAGAGGGUGACCGGCCACAUUGGGACUACGAGACGGCCCAGACUCCUACGGGAGGCAGCAGUGGGAAAUAUUGCACAAUGAGCGGAAGCCUGAUGCAGCAACGCCGCGUGCGGGAUGACGGCCUUCGGGUUGUAAACCGCUUUCGCCUGUGACGAAGCGUGAGUGACGGUAAUGGGUAAAGAAGCACCGGCUAACUACGUG
rnacentral:rRNA from 1 species